rnacentral:rRNA from 1 species
CCUACGGAGUGCAGCAGUGGGGAAUAUUGAGCAAUGGGCGCAAGCCUGACCCAGCAACGCCGCGUGAAGGAAGAAGGCCCUCGGGUUGUAAACUUCUUUUAUCAAGGACGAAACAAAUGACGGUACUUGAUGAAUAAGCCACGGCUAACUACGUGCCAGCAGCCGCGGUAAUACGUAGGUGGCAAGAGUUAUCCGGAUUUACUGGGUGUAAAGGGCGUGUAGGCGGGACUGCAAGUCAGAUGUGAAAACCAUGGGCUCAACCCAUGGCCUGCAUUUGAAACUGUAGUUCUUGAGUGUUGGAGAGGCAGGCGGAAUGCCGGGUGUAGCGGUGAAAUGCGUAGAUAUACGGAGGAACACCAGUGGCGAAGGCGGCCUGCUGGACAAUAACUGACACUGAGGCUCGAAAGUGUGGGUAUCAAACAGGAUUAGAUACCCUGGUAGUC